AGUCGAGCGGAUGAGAAGAGCUUGCUCUUCGAUUCAGCGGCGGACGGGUGAGUCCUGCCUAGGAAUCUGCCUGGUAGUGGGGGACAACGUUUCGAAAGCAUCGCUAAUACCGCAUACGUCCUACGGGAGAAAGACCAGGGGACCUUCGGGCCUUGCGCUAUCAGAUGAGCCUAGGUCGGAUUAGCUAGUUGGUGGGGUAAAGGCUCACCAAGGCGACGAUCCGUAACUGGUCUGAGAGGAUGAUCAGUCACACUGGAACUGAGACACGGUCCAGACUCCUACGGGAGGCAGCAGUGGGGAAUAUUGGACAAUGGGCGAAAGCCUGAUCCAGCCAUGCCGCGUGUGUGAAGAAGGUCUUCGGAUUGUAAAGCACUUUAAGUUGGGAGGAAGGGCAUUAACCUAAUACGUUAGUGUUUUGACGUUACCGACAGAAUAAGCACCGGCUAACUCUGUGCCAGCAGCCGCGGUAAUACAGAGGGUGCAAGCGUUAAUCGGAAUUACUGGGCGUAAAGCGCGCGUAGGUGGUUCGUUAAGUUGGAUGUGAAAUCCCCGGGCUCAACCUGGGAACUGCAUCCAAAACUGGCGAGCUAGAGUAUGGUAGAGGGUGGUGGAAUUUCCUGUGUAGCGGUGAAAUGCGUAGAUAUAGGAAGGAACACCAGUGGCGAAGGCGACCACCUGGCACACUGAUACUGACACUGAGGUGCGAAAGCGUGGGGAGCGAACAGGAUUAGAUACCCUGGGAGUCCACGCCGUAAACGAUGUCAACUAGACGUUGGGGGCCUUGAGACUUUAGUGGCGCAACUAACGCAUUAAGUUGACACGCUGGGGGAGUACGGGCGCCAAGGUUAAA
rnacentral:rRNA from 1 species